CUACGGGUUGCUGCAGUGAGGAAUAUUGCACAAUGGGGGAAACCCUGAUGCAGCAACGCUGCGUGGAGGAUGACGCAUUUCGGUGUGUAAACUCCUUUUAUAUGUCAAGAAAAUGACGGUAGCAUAUGAAUAAGCACCGGCUAACUCCGUGCCAGCAGCCGCGGUAAUACGGAGGGUGCAAGCGUUAUUCGGAAUCACUGGGCGUAAAGGACGCGUAGGCGGGUUGGUAAGUCAGGUGUGAAAUCCUACAGCUUAACUGUAGAACUGCACUUGAAACUACUAACCUAGAGUAUGGGAGGGGGAGAUGGAAUUAGUGGUGUAGGGGUAAAAUCCGUAGAUAUCACUAGGAAUACCUAAAGCGAAGGCGAUCUCCUGGAACGUUACUGACGCUAAGGCGUGAAAGCGUGGGGAGCAAACAGGAUUAGAUACCCUCGUAGUC
rnacentral:rRNA from 1 species